UUUAUUUGGUUAUAUUAUUAGGCUAUAAUUAGGUUAGUUAGUUAGGUUAGAAGAAAAAAGAGGAAAAGUAGAAGGAAAAAAUGAAAAAGAAAAAAGGAAAAGAAGAAAAUAAUUAGAAGAAGAACGAAAAGAAGAAGGAGAAGAAGAAGAAGAAGAAGAAGAGGACGAGGAGGAGGAGGAGAAAAGAAGAAGAAGAAGAAGAAGAAGAAGAAGAAGAGGAAUAGGAGGAGGAGGAGGAGAAAGAAGAAGAAGAAGAAGAAGAAGAAGAAGAAGAAGAAGAAGAAGAAAAACUCACCGGCCGUCUCCCUCUCCCUCUCAC
rnacentral:lncRNA from 1 species